rnacentral:lncRNA from 1 species
UGAAUAUAAAUAUUGCUUUUGAUAUUGAAUAGAUCGUCCCAUUGGAUGGUGGCUCGGGAAUUUCACACGAAGCCAAGUCCAAGGACAAAUGGGAGUCAAAGAUGUACAUGAGAGUUAGGUUUCUAUCUUGUGGAACCUUGGGUUAUGGUACCACCAUGUGGGUUGGGAGUAGGUCGAGCGGUGAUAGUUUCCACGGUCUUGGGAGCAAGAUAUGUCCGAGGAUAGCCUGUGAGUUAUGUUGGCAACAACGUCAGUACCAAGGGUGGGGGACGAAUAGAACCAUUUUCCUGCUUGUUGAACCGAGGAAGACCAAUAGGCAAAGUUCUGGUUCACCGGCGGCUACCGGAAUGUUAUCCACAAUAGUAACUUGGUCUUACUGACAGAGUUGUACACCGGGGUUUUUACGUAAGCAGGGAAUUAGCACUGCUCAGAUAAGUUAGAUUACAAGAAAAGGGUUAAAUAUGCCAACAGGAAGGAAAAGGUGACUAUCACGUCAAACAGACCAAUGCAAAGGAAAAUGUGUUUACACACAUUAGAGUAUACCAUUUCCGAGGAAAAAUAGAGUAUGGUAUACAUGAUAGGUCAUCAAGUACAUAACCAUUUUAAUAAAAGGGGAAGGAGAAUCAUGAUGCUUACAUAUACCAUACGGUUUGGAUAAUUGAUCAGGAACAAGUUAGCGUUGCGCUUCCAAUGUUCCUGUUGAAAUUUGAAGUACCACAUCCGUGCUU